AAGUGAGAAUGCCGGUGUGAGUAGCGAAAGACGGGUGAGAAUCCCGUCCACCGAUUGACUAAGGUUUCCAGAGGAAGGCUCGUCCGCUCUGGGUUAGUCGGGUCCUAAGCUGAGGCCGACAGGCGUAGGCGAUGGAUAACAGGUUGAUAUUCCUGUACCACCUAUAAUCGUUUUAAUCGAUGGGGGGACGCAGUAGGAUAGGCGAAGCGUGCGAUUGGAUUGCACGUCUAAGCAGUAAGGCUGAGUAUUAGGCAAAUCCGGUACUCGUUAAGGCUGAGCUGUGAUGGGGAGAAGACAUUGUGUCUUCGAGUCGUUGAUUUCACACUGCCGAGAAAAGCCUCUAGAUAGAAAAUAGGUGCCCGUACCGCAAACCGACACAGGUAGUCAAGAUGAGAAUUCUAAGGUGAGCGAGCGAACUCUCGUUAAGGAACUCGGCAAAAUGACCCCGUAACUUCGGGAGAAGGGGUGCUCUUUAGGGUUAACGCCCAGAAGAGCCGCAGUGAAUAGGCCCAAGCGACUGUUUAUCAAAAACACAGGUCUCUGCUAAACCGUAAGGUGAUGUAUAGGGGCUGACGCCUGCCCGGUGCUGGAAGGUUAAGAGGAGUGGUUAGCUUCUGCGAAGCUACGAAUCGAAGCCCCAGUAAACGGCGGCCGUAACUAUAACGGUCCUAAGGUAGCGAAAUUCCUUGUCGGGUAAGUUCCGACCCGCACGAAAGGCGUAACGAUUUGGGCACUGUCUCAACGAGAGACUCGGUGAAAUCAUAGUACCUGUGAAGAUGCAGGUUACCCGCGACAGGACGGAAAGACCCCGUGGAGCUUUACUGUAGCCUGAUAUUGAAAUUCGGCACAGCUUGUACAGGAUAGGUAGGAGCCUUUGAAACGUGAGCGCUAGCUUACGUGGAGGCGCUGGUGGGAUACUACCCUAGCUGUGUUGGCUUUCUAACCCGCACCACUUAUCGUGGUGGGAGACAGUGUCAGGCGGGCAGUUUGACUGGGGCGGUCGCCUCCUAAAAGG
rnacentral:rRNA from 1 species